CUGGAAGGUUGGGAUUAUAGGCAUGAGCCACCUAUCACACAUCUGGCCUUGCUCUAAUAAAUCUUCUGAUUCUCUGAGAGAGGCAAGAGAACCAGGAGUCAACUAUGAAGGAUCAGAGAGCAGUGGCAGCUGGGACCAGGGAGCUGGACAAUUUCCGUUCUUUGGAUUUAGUUAUACUGUACCCAGUGGUGUUAGAAACCACAGCACACGGAACAGCAGGACACUUGGAGGCAUUUAUCUCCUCAUGAUCCAGAACUGUGCAGCACUGGAAGGCAGACUUCUUUCUAGAACAGACACUUCUUUCCGCGUUGUGUGUCGGAGGCAGGGCUGCAGGCUUGGAUCUGCCACCGUCCUUCACCAAGAGGAAAGCUCCUCUCCGGCAGGUAGGCCGGUCAUUCAUUAGACACCGAA
rnacentral:lncRNA from 1 species